rnacentral:piRNA from 1 species
UGCUAUUUCAGCCCUUUGAGGUAAGAAAG